CUACGGAGGGUGCAAGCGUUACUCGGAAUCACUGGGCGUAAAGCGCGCGCAGGCGGCUAUUUAAGUUGGAUGUGAAAGCCUACGGCUCAACCGUAGAACUGCAUCCAAAACUAUUAGACUAGAGUGUGGGAGAGGAAGAUGGAAUUAGUUGUGUAGGGGUAAAAUCCGUAGAGAUAACUAGGAAUACCAAAAGCGAAGGCAAUCUUCUGGAACACUACUGACGCUGAGGCGCGAAAGCGUGGGGAGCAAACAGGAUUAGAAACCCUAGUAGUCC
rnacentral:rRNA from 1 species